UUAUUAAUAAUUAUAUACAAUUAGUUAUUAAUUAAAUAUAAAAUAUUUUAUUAAAACGUUUCUCGAUCGUCUGCUUUUUGUUAUUUUUUCCUCCAUCUUGAAAGUUCUGUUACUGGAUUAAUGAGAUAUGCUUUAGUAAUUUUCUUGAAGAUUUCAAAUAAAUUUAGUGAAACGAAAAAAAUUCAACAAGUUAUCAUAGCGAAUUUACACGACUUAACAGCGAAAACUUGCAAUUAAGGAAAUGUCGGCGGACCAAAAUGGUGGCUGAGAUGAGUGGGAAAGUAAAUUGGUGGAAGUGGAAAUCUAGCAUGGGUAGAUGGGGAUAAAAUUCCGUCCAUUCCCGACUGAGAACCUAUGGAUCUACAUUCUUUUAAGAUCCUCUACUUACCUGUUGUACGGUGAAAGUUGUGCGGUUUCUUCUCUGCUUUCUUCGAACAAAUGUAUCAUCAUGU